rnacentral:rRNA from 1 species
AUUGAACGCUGGCGGCAGGCCUAACACAUGCAAGUCGAACGGUAGCACAGAGAGCUUGCUCUUGGGUGACGAGUGGCGGACGGGUGAGUAAUGUCUGGGAAACUGCCUGAUGGAGGGGGAUAACUACUGGAAACGGUAGCUAAUACCGCAUAACGUCGCAAGACCAAAGAGGGGGACCUUCGGGCCUCUUGCCAUCAGAUGUGCCCAGAUGGGAUUAGCUAGUAGGUGGGGUAAUGGCUCACCUAGGCGACGAUCCCUAGCUGGUCUGAGAGGAUGACCAGCCACACUGGAACUGAGACACGGUCCAGACUCCUACGGGAGGCAGCAGUGGGGAAUAUUACACAAUGGGCGCAAGCCUGAUGCAGCCAUGCCGCGUGUAUGAAGAAGGCCUUCGGGUUGUAAAGUACUUUCAGCGGGGGGGAAGGUGAUACGGUUAAUAACCGUGUCAAUUGACGUUACCCGCAGAAGAAGCACCGGCUAACCCCGUGCCAGCCGCCGCAGUAA